CCUACGGGGGGCUGCAGUGGGGAAUAUUGGACAAUGGGCGAAAGCCUGAUCCAGCCAUGCCGCGUGUGUGAAGAAGGCCUUCGGGUUGUAAAGCACUUUCAGUGGGGAAGAAAGCCUUGGGGCUAAUACCCUCGAGGAAGGACAUCACCCACAGAAGAAGCACCGGCUAACUCCGUGCCAGCAGCCGCGGUAAUACGGAGGGUGCGAGCGUUAAUCGGAAUUACUGGGCGUAAAGCGCGCGUAGGCGGUCUGAUAAGCCGGUUGUGAAAGCCCCGGGCCCAACCUGGGAACGGCAUCCGGAACUGUCAGGCUAGAGUGCAGGAGAGGAAGGUAGAAUUCCCGGUGUAGCGGUGAAAUGCGUAGAGAUCGGGAGGAAUACCAGUGGCGAAGGCGGCCUUCUGGACUGACACUGACGCUGAGGUGCGAAAGCGUGGGUAGCAAACAGGAUUAGAUACCCGAGUAGUC
rnacentral:rRNA from 1 species